GCCUGGCUGGCUCAGUCAGUUAAGCAUCUGACUUUGGCUUAGGUCAUGAUCUCAUGGUUCGUGGGUUCGAGCCCCGCAUCAGGCU
rfam:Felis catus isolate Cinnamon breed Abyssinian chromosome E3, whole genome shotgun sequence.